UGUAGAGGACUACCAAGGCGAUGAUCUGUAGGGGGCCUGAGAGGGUGAACCCCCACACUGGUACUGAGACACGGACCAGACUCCUACGGGAGGCAGCAGUGAGGAAUAUUGGACAAUGGGUGGAAGCCUGAUCCAGCCAUCCCGCGUGCAGGAAGACGGCCCUAUGGGUUGUAAACUGCUUUUGUAUAGGGAUAAAUCAUCUUACGAGAUAGGAUGUUGAAGGUACUAUACGAAUAAGCAUCGGCUAACUCCGUGCCAGCAGCCGCGGUAAUACGGAGGAUGCGAGCGUUAUCCGGAUUCAUUGGGUUUAAAGGGUCCGUAGGCGGGCUAAUAAGUCAGUGGUGAAAUCUCACAGCUCAACUGUGAAAUUGCCAUUGAUACUGUUAGUCUUGAGUGAGUUUGAUGUUGCUGGAAUGUGUAGUGUAGCGGUGAAAUGCAUAGAUAUUACACGGAACACCGAAUGCGAAGGCAGGUAACAAAGACUUAACUGACGCUGAUGGACGAAGGCGUGGGGAGCGAACAGGAUUAGAUACCCUGGUAGUCCACGCAGUAAACGAUGCUAACUCGUUUUCGGGGUGAAGAACUUCGGAGACCAAGCGAAAGUGAUAAGUUAGCCACCUGGGGAGUACGUUCGCAAGAAUG
rnacentral:rRNA from 1 species